CCACAACUGCAACCGCACGUUUUAAGUUUAAGAGUACAAAUAUUGUAUUUUGUACCACUACAUUACGGCGAGUCUAAGAUUAUUA
rfam:Lactobacillus capillatus DSM 19910 NODE_39, whole genome shotgun sequence.